rnacentral:lncRNA from 1 species
AACGUUGAUGUGUGUAAGGCUAAUUUUUCUAAUCAAAAGCCCUUUUGGUCUUCGUCCUAGUAAUGCUACGUUGGUUUAAUAUGUAUUAUUAUUAUUUUAUUGCCAACAUGAUAGAUGGAUAAGGUUGCCAAUAGUAAUAAUAGUAGUAAGGGGUCUCAAUCUCUUGUCGAUCUAUCUUCCAAACUUGUCCUCGACACUCCUAUAUUAUUUGAGAGAGAAAAAGAAAUAAAAAAAACAAUGGUUGUUCCAUGUCAUUAUUGCUAUAAGUAUUAUUUCAUAUUUCCUCGUCUCUUGGGAGUUCCAAAAGCCAAAUUUAGCUAAAGAUUUCUUGUUUUCUAAAUCAUGGCUAUCUGUUUCUUGGAACCUAUAAAUAGAACAGGUACUAAAUUGGACCAAAGAGAAACCAAAGACGCGGAAAAUAGAAAGAGGAGAAAAACAAACAGAGACGAAUAUACAUUUUUGACAAUAAAUAUGGUGAUUCAAAGGUUGGAGAUGUGCAUAGGAAUGGUGAAAUUGGCGUUUGAGUUCGUUGUGGUGUUUGUAGAGGCAGUUGGUACUGUUAUCUCACAAAACAAUUCAUCUUCCUUGUCAACACAUGAUUCCUCGGCCAACCGAGACUACGUUGCUACAACGCCUUACAUCGGCCUUCUUCCUUAAAUUGUUUAUUUCUUCACUUCGAAUAUCCGAAACUUACUGGUCCGACUUAAUCCAAUUUCUUAAACGUUGUCUUUCUGAAUUCCCGAAAAACCCACGUAAAGAAGGAAAGAAUACAGGCAACGAACAUAUGACAACUGCAAUUUUGCCUUUUUCUCAUCAUGAGGUUUUGUACAAUGUAAAAUCAGCUUCAGAAGAGCUUUCUUGGGAGAGAGGUGUUAGAGUUUUAAUUAGCUUUUUUUUCCUUUUCUGUUUUGUAAUUUUUGGUUAAUUAUUUUUAUUUAAUGUGAUUUGUCGUGAGCUUAUUCAUAUUGGCAACUUUGAGGUCUGAUCAUUAUUCCUACCAGCUUCUUGUCAAGAUUGCAGCAUAAUUAGUAUAAUUAGUUCUCUAGUUUAUAUACAAACACACAUGUUUGUUUUUGCAACAUCUUAAUGUCUCUAAUUUAGUUGAAUAAAUAAUAUUUUUACAAAAUUAUUUAUAUUCGUUGUAAAAACUAUUUGCUUGAUGAAGUACGCUAAAAGUUAAUUAGUGGUGGUAAUAACUGACCGUGGUGGUGGUCGGCGAUAUUGGCAGUGAGAUGGUUUCUGGUUGUGCUUGUGGUUGGAGUAGCUAAGUGCUAAUUGUUGGCUGCUAAAGGUAAUGAUUAUGCAGUAAAAAUCGACUUUCUUCAUAAUUCUAUCUGGUUGAAAUUAAAAAAUAGCCAGAUUUACAAGUGAUAAUUGAAAAAUAACCAUAAUUUCAAAAAUAAUCAAAAUUUAUCCACUUUCAUGUAAAGAUAAAUUUGAACGAAAAUACUAUUCAAAAUCCGAAAAAUAUUCCAGCAUAAUAUAUUAGAGUUCGAAUUUUUUACAUGUGAACUUCCAGCAUAAUAUGCUAGAGUUUGAAUUUUUUACAUGUGAACUUCCAGCAUAAUAUACUAGAAUUCGAAUUGUUUACGUGUGAACUUCUAGCAUAAUAUGUUGGAAGUUCAUACACGGGUGCUCCAAUCUCCAGUAUAUUAUGUUGGAACUUUGCGUGUGCUGGAAGUUCAUACACAAGUGCUUCAAUCUCCAGUAUAUUAUGCUGGAACUUUCCGUGUGCUAGAGUUCCAACAUAAUAUGCUGGAAGUUCAUACACAUGUGCACCAAUCUCCAGUAUAUUAUGCUAGAACUUUUCAUGUUGCAGUAAAAUAGUGACUAUUUUGCAAUGACUUUACAAACAAUGAGUAUUUUUCAAUUACCAAUUAAAAAACUGGCUAGCCCAUACUAUUUUCACAUUUAUUAAGAAAUCUUUGAGCUUGGGCUUGAGCUAGAUUUUUCAGCGUUUGAUCACUUAGGCUUUUGAUAGGAAUGGCAAGCGGCAUGGCGGUGCGGGUGCGGGACAGGUUUGUAUUAACUCGCUCCUCCCUGCAUAUCAUUUGCACCUGCGUUCAUCCGCUUCGCAUCCACAUUGCGUCCACCUGUCUCGUGCCACCUCGCGUCCGCUUAAGUGUUUUUUUUCCAUCAAUUUGUUGGUUUUAAUUUUUUAUUUUUUUAAUCUUUUGGCUGGAAUUUUUUUUUACACUUUUAGGAUAUAUACUCAUACUUUUUAUUAAUUUUAAAGAUCACGGAAGACCUCAGCUAAGGUUGCCAUUGACAAAAGUUUUUGAGUAUUUCAUACACCAUUUUGUGCUUCUUUCACAUCUCACUAUGCAUCAACUCAUUCCUACACAAAAUAGACUAUAAGUACAUAUUUCGUCACUUUUAACUCGAGGUUUUUUUACAUAAAGAAAGCACAAGAAAUCAUAGAGUAAUCUCUGAAAUUUUUCAGUUUAUCGCGAGAUUGGAGGUUGUCGUUGUUGGUGAUGGUGCCAAAAACAACACUUAGGAAGUUGAAAUGAAUAAUUCUUGUUGAGACUUUCAAAAGUGAAUAAGGCCGAAAUGAAACACGUUGAUUGUUGCUAAAAAAGAGCUGAAAUUAUAGAGCACUUCAAACUUGUAGUUUUACCAGCCCCCUUCAGAUUUCUAGCCAACUUCUUAUUAAAAAAUUAUACUAUUAAAUUGUCUGCUGUUACCUUAGUACAAUCAAAUUAGAUACCAAAGAUUCUUAAAUCAUCCAAAUUUUCAAAGUGAGUUCUUAUCCAAUUUUUGGUUACGAUCAAGCCUUUAAAAUUUCAGAAAUGUCCCAAUCAAGUCCCUAGUAAACUCCUAUUUCAGCGUCACCAACACCCCUUUUCUCACUUACAAGUUACUACUAAAUGGCAACUGUCAUGAAACUCGAAAAAGAAAGGAAAGAAGACAAAAGAAGGGACCUGGUGGCAUGUCAGCAUAAUUGAUGUUUUUAAUUUUAUUUUGCAGAAGAUGGUAUCAUUUUCCGACCACAUUGUACAUUAAAAUUUGUCAUAUUGUGUUAUAGGAGUAACGAAGUAUUUUGCCUAACGAUAAGGCCAUCGAAACGGCUAACACAGUACUGGCUUACUCUCAAAAUAAGAUAAAUUAAUGACCAUUAAUUCUCUCUAUCCCGCUCUAUAGAGUUAUUUGUGGUUUGGUUUGAAUUGAGUUUUACUUGAAUUAUUUUACUCUGUUAAUUAUAUAAAAAAUCAAAUCAUAUCAAACAUAAAAGGAAGUUUUAUCAGUUUUUUAAUUUACCCAUCAAGAGAAAUGAAAAUUCAGUCUGUUACAUUAUGUUUGGAGUGACUUUAUGUUUUCCCCCAAAAUCGGAUAACAACUGAAUUUAUACGCGGUUUUAAGGAUAUGUGAUCUAAUUUGAUACAAAGUCAGAAAUCAUAUUUAAUAUGGAAGAAUAAGUAGAAAAAUAAAUACAAACCGUGCAGAUUGAACAACUUAAGCCUCGCAAGAUUAAUUUCCUUCGAAUUUAGAUUUGAUAUUCUUGAAGCCAGAAUAAUAUGAACAAAACUGAAAAAAAUAGUAUCUUGUUCUCUUAAGUAUGUUACAAUAUUUGUAAUGAAUUAUUCCAUUCCCGUUAUAUAUACAGGGAGAUGAAACCUUUAAGACAUUAUUUUAUAGGAAAUUAUGUAGACCGUUGGCUCCCAUUUUGACUUAAUCCCGUAAUUUCCGCCAUAAUGAUUGGUCAAUGGCGAGAAUCACAGAUACUUGUUGUGUGAGUUGGCAAAGCUUUUCUUCGAGGUCAUUAGAAGCGGGGUCGGUCGUGCCCCCGAUAAACUCGAGGAAAAAUCUGAUGGUCUUGUUCGAACUUCGAUCCUUGAUAUCGAGCUCAGUUACAUCUGUAACUUCGAUCUCUUACGUAGGUGCCGAACCUUGACCUAUUGUUCCAGAUGCCUUGAUCAAGCAUAGAGCUCGGUUCUACCCAUAUACAGAUAGUCCCUUCAUUUUUUGGAGAGUAAGCGAUUAAAAACGAUAUGAACCUUCGGUCUUUACUUUGAUAAAUCAUGACGACGGGUACAUGACGUAGGUGAUAAGAAUAGUGGAAACGUCCCGCCAGUCCGGUCUUCGAGGCAUUAAAGAUAUGUCAGUUGAUGGUCGGCUACCUCUGGAGAUGAAUCGCCGCUUGAGGAACCUAUAAAUACCCUUUAAUCCAUUCGUUAGAACUUUUACGUUCACAUCCAUUUUGCGUUCUAAGAACUUUAUCUUCUUCAUCUUCUGGUUUUCUCAUUGCCAACCUCAAAGCUUCCCCUUAUGAACAAUCUCUUUCUUUCAUUUUUUAUAAAAAUGGUAAAAACGUCAAAGUCUGUUCCUCAAAAAGAAACACCUUCUUCUUCAAAACCUUCUGAAAAUGCUCCUCACGCUGCUACUGAGGAACCCCUCUGAGAUCAUACAUCCCUACCGGGUGCCCUACUAUGGCUGAUUUCAAGGUUGAGAAUACGCCCAUGCUACCGGGUCGAUGCGAACCGGUCUCAAAGUACAUAUGUACGAUCACGGACAACAUCCCCGAUAAGGUUAAAGAGGAUUGCAACUGGGUAGGCAAACACGUAGUGGUUCCUACCGCUGAAGAAUCAAUUACCACCUACGUGAAGGGUUUCUUUAGUGUUUACACUUACCCUUUCACGUUGGGUCCUCUAGACCUGGUUAUCAUAGCCUUUUGCAAAAGGUAUGAUGUGACGCUCGGGCAAAUACAUCCUUCAUUUUAGAGGAUCGUUAUUCUGCUUCGAUUCUUUAUAAGCAAGGUCGAGAGAUGUCCAUUCACCAUCGACCAUCUCAUGUGCCUGUACAACCCUCGACUUUACCGAAGAGGGUUAAUUAAACUUGCACGCUGAGCCACCAAGACCUUGUUCUCAAGUAUCGACGUGGAUCGAGACCAGGGCUGGUUAGGUAGAUUUGUUCGAGUGAGAACCUCAGACUUAAUCCCGGCUGAGGACAUGCCGUUCCUUGAGAAAUGGAACAUGAAACGUAAGUUUAGCUUUGCCUUUGGUAUUCCUUUUAUUGCUUUUCAUUCCGUUUGGUUUCUCAUCGAUGUUAUGUGAUGCAGUUGUUGCCCAGAUGCCGAACCCUAUUCCCUAACUUAAAGAGUAGGUCGAGGGCAUUGCGACACAGAGACCUUAUUCCGAACACUUAUGGCGUGAGCUCUCGAAGGGCCGAUGGGAGGCCCGUAAUCAUGGUAAGGGUUUUUCCCUAAUAAUAUAUCUGAUCUCAUUUUCAUCAUCAGUCUCUGAUUUGUUAUAUAUUCAUUAUGUAGGUUUAGGAAAGGACGUCGAGAUGAGGCCUCUACCAGCUGACGAUGAUAUACACGCCCAUCCCCCUGCUUCGAAACAGGGCAAAGAGAAGAGGAAAAGAAAAGCUUCGAGUCCCUCGGCCCCUGAAAGGAAAAGACCGAGGAAGCGACCCGCGCAUAAACCUAAGAAACCCAGCGCCCGAGAACUUUCAUCGGACUCACUCAAUCGGUUGAGGGAUAAGUCCGAGAAAGAAGAAAAUUCUGAGUUAGUGGCCCGCGUGAGAAGCGCCUUCGAAAUGCCUCGAGCCAUGGAGGCCGUAGAAGAAACAGCGGUUGAAGUCUCCGAGAGGGUCGAGACUGAUUUGGCCCGAGCCAGUGAGGUCGAGAAAGAAAAUGUGACCGGUACAUCCUGGUCGGAAGAUAACGUACCCAAAGAAGCGCUUGGGUGAUUGACCUUUCUGGGUCGCCUUCGUUUACAACUUUUAUGAUAAACGAGGCCUAGGCGUUGAAAGGUAACUUCGGCGAAGGGGCCCAAGGAGUAGCCGAUUCUUUCCAUAAAUUUUUCGACGGCCUAGAUUCCACUGCUUCAGAGGAUGUUACCGGUUUAGGCGACCUACCGGUACCAAGGAAGAUACCGUCCCCGGGAGCUGGCGGGUCCUCUUCGAGCCCGAAAUUAGUGAAUCAGUUCCCUGCUCCGAGUGUUGAUCCUACUGGGAGGCGAGCAAUUUAUAUGUCCAUCCCAGAGGACACCCAGGUUCUUUCCACCCUGGUGGUAAUUGCUAGUUACCUUCGGUGCUUGCUGACCGAAGAGGAUCAAAUCAUAAUGAACGAGGUAUAGGCGCCCUAGCUUUUCAACAAAGCUCAACAUGCGCUGAAUCAGGUAAUUUCGCAUAUCCCUUUGUUAUAUACUUAAAUUUAAUAGUGAAUAAUCCUAACAUCUUCCUUUGUGUUUUCAGGCCUCAGUGCUUCAUCAUGAGGCCUUUCUACGAUACCAGGAGGAGUUCAAGUGUCAUGAGGCCGAGACUCGGGAGCUUGCCGAGAAGAAGGAUACUUACAAGCUUCUUACUGAGAAGCUUCAGGCCAAGUUAGAAGCGGCUCGGAAGGAGCAUACCGGUUUGCUCGUGCAGGUAAUACGAAUAUUCAAUCUUAGUGAUGAUGAUUCAGAUACUUUGGCUAACGACCCGAAACUAUAGGCUCAAAAAAGGCUUGACCAGGUCGAGCAGCUUCAAGCAGAGGUGGACGCGGUGAAGGACGAGGCCGAAAAAUGGAAGAAAACUAUGGACCAUCUGGCCUCGAAAAUAGAAACUGCCCAGGCACAAUUGGCUUCUGCUGAGGUUCAGCUUCGGGCUGCAAAGGAGAGGAACUUAGCGCAGGCCAAAACGAUCGAGGAACUCUAAUCUCAACUUAGUUUAGCUAUUUCUGGCCAAGAGAAUCUGGCCAAGGAGUUCGAGGCUUCCAAGUUAGAAGUUAUUACGGUCCUAAACAAAGCUGAUAAAAGGGUGGCCCAGCUCAAAGUUGAUGCCGAGGCUAUAUAGGAGCAGGAAAAAAGUAUGGUGAAGCAUGCAUGGUGGGAAUCCCGAAGGAAGACCCUCGAGGGAGUCCAUGCCCAGAAUUUUGACAAAUUGAACGAAAUUGAGAACGCCAAGACAUGCGAAGUCAAUGCUCAAAGGCUAGAUUUUCCCGAGGAGGAUUCCAAUGCGUCUAAAGAAACGGGCGAGUCCGGUGGUGAGGGAGACUUCGAAGGCGAUGACGCAGUCCCCAGUGAAGAUUAGUCCGUUCAAAUUUUGUACUGUUUCUUUUGUUGAGGCAAUUUGGCCUUUGUAUAUGACAUGUAACAGGGCUAUUCGGCCUUUGUAAAAAAAACUUUGAUAUAUAUAUAUAUAAGGCCUCUUUCAUAGCUUUCAAAUUUCUUCUUUGCUUUAUUAUUUAUUUUCAAAAGUGGAGAUGCCUUAGCAUGAAAAUAUUAGGUUAUUUUCGAAGGUUCGAACAAACCUUGCCUUUAUCGCCUUUUUGGAUUAAGGCCAAAUAAGCUUCAUGCCCUCGAGUUUUAAUAACUCUGACUGGCCUUAGCCUUUAAAUUUCGGCAAUGCUAAAUAAGCUUCAUGACCUCGAGUUUUAUUAACUCGGACUGGCCUUGGCCAUUAAAUUCGGGCAAUGCCAAAUAAGCUUCAUGCCCUCGAGUUUUAUUUACUCGGACUGGCAUUGGCCGUUAAAUUCGGGCAAUGCCAAAUAAGUUUCAUGCCCUCGAGUUUUAUUAACUNGGACUNGCNNNNNNNNNNNNNNNNAUUCCCCGAGUGAAGUGAAUGUUCGAACUCGGAUUAAGGUGGCCCUUGGGCUUAAUAUCUGCAGGAAAUUCCUUGAAAAAUGCAAGUGCUAUUUUUGAAGAUGAGAUGUUUAUACAGUCUCCUUUUUAUUCCUAUGCAUAAUAGUUGUACAUGCAUAUACGUUUUGUACCAGGGCUUGAAUGAUUUGAGCGGGCACGGUUCAUUUGGCCGUUUGGCCCUUACAAUAAAUCUCGUUGGUCGAGGCCCUUCAAUCACGGAGUCGAAAUGCCUUGUUAAAUCCGAUAUCCGAGGACAUUGCCCCUCAGUGUUCAAGGUUGACCGAUGAGAGGCCUCAAAUGUUGUCAUGAUCAUUGUCACCGAUUUUAUAGCCCGCCCUCAAUUUCUAAGUUAGCAUGAUUACUUGUUACCUCAUUAAAAACCUUGCCAAAAAACCCAUUUAGGAUAAAAGCGGUACAACGGAAAAAGAGUACAACGCGUGCUUUCAAACCUAGGAUCUCGUAUCAUCCUUUGUGAGUUGCCUGCAAGUGUCAGUUUGAAAUGUUAAAAAAGAUAAACAGAAGAAAGAAUUGGGGUCGUACCUUAGCAAUAAUAUGGUUUUAAGUGAUAUACAUUCCAGUUGUUCGGUAAUUGUUCGCCGUUCAUUGUUCCGAGCUUGUAGGAUCCUUUUCUAGUGAUCCCAAUAAUUUGGUACGGUCCUUCCCAGUUUGGCCCCAAUUUCCCUUUGUUUGAGUUUCGGGUGUUUAGUAUAACUUUUCUUAAUACUAAGUCCCCAAUAUUGAAAUACCGAAGGUUGGCCCUUCGAUUAUAAUAUCUCUCGAUCCACUAUUUUUGGGAGGCUAAACGGACAAGGGCGGCUUCACGCCUUUCAUCUAAUAGUUCCAGGCUCGUACUCAUAGCCUCGUCAUUUGAUUCCCUUGUUGCAUGUAGGAAUCUGAUGCUUGGUUCUCCGACCUCGACCGAUAUUAAAGCUUCGGUGCCGUAAACCAAAGAAAAUGGUAUGGAUCCGGUACUGGACUUCGAGGUUGUACGGUACGCCCAUAGGACCUCAGGUAGCACUUCUUUCCAUUUUCCUUUGGCCUCCAUCAACCUCAUUCUGAGGUUCUGGAUUAUCGAUUUGUUGGUGGAUUCUGCUUGUCCGUUCCCACUGGGAUGGGAAGGAGUGGAUAGGAUCCUUUUUAUCUUAUGGUCUUUAAGAAACUUGCUUACUUUGUUGCCAAUAAACUGUUUUCCGUUGUCGCACACGAUCUCGGCCGGUAUUCCGAAUCGACAUAUAAUGUGAUCCUAGAUAAAAUCGACGACUUCUUUUUCUCUGACCUGUUCAUAUGCCUGUGCUUUCACCCAUUUAGAAAAAUAGUCAGUCAUAAAUAAAAUAAAUUGGGCCUUACCGGGCACCCGUGGAACUGGGCCACCGAUGUCCAUCCCCUAUUUCAUGAAUGGCCUUGGUGACAAGACCGAAUAUAACGGCUCUCCUGAUCGAUGAAUCAUCGGAGCAUGCCAUUGGCAUCCAUCACAUUUUCGGACAAACUCCUUUGCAACUUUUUCCAUGUCGAUCAGCACUCUGAUUAUUUUUUGAACCAAUGAUUCGGCGCCCGAGUGAUUUCCACGGGUACCUUCGUGGAUUUCCCUAAACAUGUAUUCGGUGUCCCCUGGUCCCAAACAUAUCGCCAUCAGGCCAUUGAACGUUCUUCUGACUAAGGUUUCAUCCUCAGAUAAACUAAACCGGGCUGCCUUGGUACGUAGGUGUAAUGACCAGACCAGUUAUUUUGAGAUCUAGCGUGUUGUUUUGUGGUUUGAGACCAUGAGUAGCUUCACUUCAAGUAUUAUGACUUGUACGUGUGGUCGGAAUUGAGUUUCGGGAAGUUCAGAGUCGAUUUGGAAAGAAAAUUCUAAAUUGGGAAGCUUUAAGUUGGAGGAAUUGACUAAUGUUUGACUUUCGAGUAAACGACCUCAGAAUCGGGAUUUGAAGAUUCCAACAGGUUCGUAUGAUGAUUUUGGACUUGGACGUAUGUCCGGAUAGGGUUUUGGAUGACCCGGAAGCGUUUCGGCGCCUAUUGUGGAAGGUUGGCAUUUUGAAAGAAUUUCAUGAAUUUGGGUUGAAGUGUAUUUCAACGUUAUUAAUGUCGUUUGGGAUUCCGAGCCUGGGAAUGGCUCCGUAUGGUUAUUUUUGUCUUUGGUGCGUGUCCGAACGUUGAUUUGGAGGUCCUUAGGUCAUUUCGGCGUCAAUUGGUGAAAGUUGGAUAUUUGGAUGAUUUUGAGAAGUUUGACCGGGAGUGAACUUUUUGAUAUCGGGGUCGGAUUUCGAUUCCGGAAGUUGGAGUAGGUCCGUAAUGUCAAAUAUGACUUGUGUGCAAAAUUUGAGGUCAAUCGGACGUGAUUUGAUAGGUUUCGGCAUCGAAUGUAGAAGUUUGAAGUUCUAAUUCAUUAAGAUCGAAUUGGGGUGUGACUCGUGAUUUCGACGUUGUUUGACAUGAUUUGAAGCCUCGAGCAAGUUCGUGUCAUGUUUUGGGACAGGUUGAUGUGACUGGACGGGGUCCCAGGGGCGUCAGGUGUGUUCCAGGGUAGUUUCAGAUAAAUGCUGGAUGAAAAGUUAUUGCUGGUUCUGCUGGUUUUUGGGUCGAGGCUGCAGGUCUUGCAAAUGCGAGGGUGGGAAAUUUCUGAGGGGCUCGCAUUUGCGAACAUUUUAUCGCUUUUGCGAAUCUGUCCUCUUCGCAUUUGCGAAGAGUUUGGUCGCAAAUGCGACCUUGGCAGGGAUGGCUCUCCUUUGCAUUUGCGAUGCUUUUGUCGCAAUUACGACCAUCGCAUUUGCGAACCAGAUGUCGCAAAUGCGAUGUCUGCGACUAGAGCAAGGGCUUUUAUUUCGGGACUUAGCUCAUUUCCCUCAUUUCCCACUUGGACUUAGGCAAAUUUUGAGAGCAUCUUGAGAGGGGUUCCAUCAACAUCAAAGAGGUAAGUGAUUCCCGUGUUUUUUGAGUUAAAUAAUUGGAUUAUACAUAGAUUUUAACAUGGAAAUUCAUGAAAAUUUAUAGAAAUUUGGGGUUUUGGUUGAAAACCUAAAAAUUGGUAUUUUUGGAUUUUAACCACGAAUUUGGGCGUGAAAUUGAGAAUAAUCUAUAUAUUUGAGUUCGUGAGGCUAUGGGUAAUGUUUAUCUUCAUAAAUUUUCAGAAUCCGAGCACGUAGGCCCGAGGGUGAUUUUUAUCGACUUUUCGAGCGGAGUUUGGAAUUGUUAUAAAUUGGAUUAUAAUGAGUAUUAGAGUAUAUAUUUAUGGAUUUGCACAUUUAUUGACUAGUUUUGGAGCGAUGGGCAUUGGUGUGAGUUGUUGGAAAGGCUUUGGAACCGGUUAUGGAAUUUCUGAGCGAGGUAAGUCUCUUUUCUAACCUUGUAGGGGGGAAUUAAUCCCAUAGGUAAAUUGAUUUAAUAUGUGCUUCUAUUUGUGGAGGCUACGUACGUAUAAGGUGACGAGAGUCCGUGCGUAGCUACUAUUAUGCUUAUGUUCGGGUAGUCUAGGACCCAAAUCAUGUUAUACUUGCGAUGUUUGUGCCCUACUUGUUAAUUUAAUUGCUUAAACCAUAUUGAAAUUUGAUAAAGGAAUUGUAAAAGGUUAAACUUGAUUUUCUUGACCGUUAAUGAGAAUUUGGUAUUCCGUUGAAUAGUUUUCCCUUAAUAAAUCUUGAAUUAGUUGUUGUAAAUGUAUUUUCUCUUUUGUGGAGUGGGCCGAACGCCUCAGUAGCAGAUAAAUGCAUCUAUGGUUCGCGCUGUUCGACCCUCGAUAGUGUACAGUUUAACUAUUUAUAUUGGAUCGGGCCAUACGACCUCGACAUGAUUUUCACAUAAUAAAUCUUUGGAAUUAAUAAUAAUUGAUAUUGCCUCAUUGGCAUGAGAUACAAAAUGUUAAAUGAGGGGAAUAAAUUUGGAAACAUUUCCUAUUAAUAAAAGAAUUGUUCACUCACUUCUUGUUAUUGAGUUUACAGAUGUUUCAUACAAUCCAUGCUUAGGUAUAAUAUCGAUAUUUAUUGUUAGCCCAUAGUAAGUGUCGGAGUCGACCUCUCGUCAUUACUUCUUCGAGGUUAGACUAGAUACUUACUGGGUACGCGUUGAUUUACAUACUCAUACUACACUUGCUGCACAUUUUUGUGUUGGUGCAUAUAUGUCUAGCAGACUUGUGGGUGUAGAGGCGCGGCUAUUUCAGGGAUUUAGGUGAGUUGCAUCCCAUGUUGCGAAUUCGCAGCACACAGAGUCUCCAUCAGAGUUAUCUACCCUCUCCUGUCUAAUUGUACUUUCAGACAGAUGUUGUGUUUCUAAUAUAUUUCCUAGUUGAUGCUCCUGUACUUGUGACACCGGGUUUUGGGGGUGAUUAUGGGCUGUUCAGUAUUGUAGUUGUGAAAACACUAUCAUUUACUUUGUAAAGUCUAUCUCUUACUAUUUAAUUGAAGGAAAUUAUGAUUUCAAAAAUACGGAAAUGAGUAAUUAAGUUAAUCAAUUAUUGUUGGCUUGCCUGACAACGGUUUUAGGCACCAUCAUGACCUCUAUUGGAAUUUAGGUCGUGACAACUUGGUAUCAGAGCCCUAGGUUUACUUAGGUCUCACGAGUCAUGGGCAAGUCUAGUAGAGUCUUGUGGAUCGGUACGGAGAUGUCUGUACUUAUCUUCGAGAGGCUACAGGGUUGUUAGGAGCACUUCCCUUCUUGAUUCCUCAUCGUGCAGUUUGAUUCCUUUGAGGCUUAUGUAUUCAUUCCCUUCCUAUUCAAUCUUAUGCAACGUGAAACGCUUGUUAUAAAUUGGGAAUCGAGGAAUUUUAAUGGCACUGUAGAUGUAGUACAGGAUGUUUCUCCCUGCAUAUUUGAUUGGGCUAAUGUUAUCGCCUUGUGGAAGGAUGUUCUUUUGUUCUAGCUCAGUAUCGGUAUUUUCUAUGGUUUCGAGAGUGUGCAUGGGUUGCUAUGAUGUCUAAGAGUUAUUAUAGCACAGUAUUGAUGCAAUGGUAGGAUACUUGUCUACGUGUCGGGGCAUUGAAUGAUUCGAAAGGAGGUUUUUCUCAAUGCAUAAUUCAGAGGUUCAGUGUUUUAUUUCCAGUGGAGAAAAGGCAAUCGGACUAAGAAUGGUUAGUUUUGGGUUGAUGGAGUAAAAAGACUUGGUAUUUUCGAGCAUAGUGGAAUCUUCAUCCGUCAUGUGGUGUCGUCGUCCUUGAUUGAAUGUGUUAAGCUCGACGGUAUUAUGGCCUUCUUCAAAAUCACCUUUGGGGCAGAGUAUUGUGAAUGGUGCCGGGGAAGCUACUGUUAGAGGUCGCAGUGUGCUGUAGUUCAGAAUAGAAUCGGUGAUCCUAAUGUUGAUGGCUCAAGGAAGAUGAUCUUCGAGGAGGUUUAGAGUUGGCGGCGAUCUGUUGGUUCAGGUGCUAUAGAUAUGAAUAUUUACUUAAGGCAACAACUAGGUAGCGAAGGAUGAGGAAGGACAUGUGGGAGGUGUCUUGUGGUUAAACUUCUAGAAGGCCAAGUGUAAGAAAACAGAAGUCCAGUAGGUUCUUAAAGGAGAGGGUCUGACCAAAGUAAGAGAGUGUCCGGGUAGCAUAUGGGUUCUGUGGUAGGAUAGCUACACGCAUUGAGGAAAGUUUUGAGUGAUUUGGAACUCAUGGUGGAAAGUGACUAAAUCUACGAGCUUAAUUUGGAAUAUGGGAUGCUAUACGGAGAAACGUUAGAUACGACGGAAAGGAGUUGCUUGAUAUGAAUAAGGAUACAACAUGACUUUGGAUUGGAAUGUAUUGUCGCACCUUUAGUUGAUGUCCAUGAGGAGUGAACGGGCUUGUACAACUAGUGAAUGAGCAUAGGCUCAGGAUGGUUUAUUGGUUUCGUGGUAAUUAUACUCAGUGCAGCGUUGUUGGAAGAUGUCGGCAUGGAAUUUUCACAAGUGGGUUAUUUCCGGUGAGCAGGUUAACAGUUGCGUGGUGUUGACAAAGCUUCUGCGAAGAAUUCUAUUGGCUACCCGAUAAGAGGUCGAACAUGUGAAUGUGGCUAGGGAUUCAGAGCAUUCAUAAAAUGGUUAAUAGGAAGAUUUCGAGGAAUUUUGCGGGUCGAUUGCGCUAGGUCAUGUCAGUGAGGAAGAAGGAAUCUUGGUAGGUUCCAAGGUUAUGUAAUGGUAGCUUCAAGCUAAGUGGGAGAGCCCCACCGCCGACGAUUUGAUUGCAUGGUUGUCUACUUGUGAGGUUUCUGGUUAUCGGCAUAUUGGUGGGUUAUUACGACUAAGGAAAGAGAACAUCAAUGGUGAUUUGAGCAAUGUGUGCUAUAAUUGGCCUUAUCGAUUCAUGUUCAGGCUUUGGGAAGACUCAGGAUUUAUGCUUCGUGUAGAUGUGAUAUACAAGAAAGGUGAUUCAGCCGGAUGCUUCUUUGAGAGGGCAUUUAUGUUCUAGCAAAGCCUUGGGGUUUGAUCAUAUUUGGGAACAAGUCAGAGUGGGUGACUCUCAACAACGGUCCUAGUAGAUUCAAAAAAAAUUAAAGUGCGGUGCCUAAGGAUUUCGAGUCUGUAGUAUGGUUAAGUAUCGAGCAUUGCAGUGGAUUACGAAAAAAAGGGCUUGGAGAGUGUUCUAUGUUAUCAUCGAUCUGCGGUGUAGCACUGGAGGAAUGGGAGAAAAUAAGUUCGGAUUCAUAAAGGAAAUAUCAGAAUGGGUGUACCAGUUGAAGAUGCAAAUGUGUGCAUAAGGAGGGUAUGAGAUUUGUUUGUGGAUUUUGAGACAACGUGGUCUCGUGAAAUAGGGUCCUUCUGGAUGAGUGCGAAUUGGGUUUGUCAUAUUUUGAAUGGAGCUAUUACUAUUCCUAAGGCAAGUCCGGAGUAAAUUAGAAGAAGUUAGAUCGGUUAGCAAUGGUUGAAUCGGCAUGAUGUGGUAAUGAUCAGUUCCUUCAACGUGUUAAGUUUUACAGGUGGUUAUGGCGGUACGUGCGAGGCUUGACGGCCACCGUAAUUGAUUUUACUUGGAGGCAUUCGGGUUAUUAUGGCCUGUUAUGUGUAGAUGGAUCCCAGAAGGGUCAUGGUGGUUUAGACCACUACUUGGGGUUGUAUUUUCUACGGUUAUGAGAAUUCGGUCGCAUGUUGUAAUGGUUCUCCUGAAAUGAGUUAAGUGAAAGGUUGCUAUAUGAAAGAGUGUUUAUUUUAUUAGUGGAUCAGGGGUUAUUAUGUAAUUCCUGUACUCUCACGUAUUGUCAUGUUAGAUGUAGUGAACAACAUGGAAAUCGGAAGCUGAGGAUCAAGGUUGUGGUUUGGUGUUGACAAGAAUGUCACGAGCUCGGACGAGCAGGAAAGAAUUCAGAUGGUUAGAAUCAACUAGUAUUGUCUUUAGCGUUACCUGAGAUCGAUGUCCUGUGUAAGAGGCUUUGUGUACUGAUUUGCGGAUUCUUGAUUUGCUUUACAUCAUUAAUGUGGCCGGCGGUAUGGAGGUGCAGACUUGUUACCUGGUGCGGAAGGUCGUGGGAGCGUAUCCCACGGGAAAAUUGUAUAAGUGUGACAUGUAGUCACUUGAUUGAUUAAAGAUUGAAAUCAAGUAUGGAGAUUUUUGUACUAUCGCUAAUGUGAAGGUUUAGUCCUGAAAAGGCACUCUAUUCAGUUGGUUGUGAAUUAUGGAAGUUUGUUCUGGAUUCGACGGUUGUUCUUGCGUGUCAUGGGAAAAAAGGGUCAUUGUGGAUCCUUGAGAGGUUAUUUGCCCAAGCAUGGUAUGAUCAGAAUCGGUUUGAGGUCUGUUGAUGGGUCCAAAUGUGGAUGUGUAUUCUACACCAGCCUGGGUGUGUUCAUUCAGCAUAGCAUUCCUUAUGGAAGAGUAUUCGGGCAUGAGAUGUUAAUUUCGUCGCCAGCUAUUUCAUGUAAUACUCUAUUAUGCCAUGUGGGUUGUAAGACGACUUGAUUAUUUGUACAAUGUGUUGAGGUCCCGCGUAGCGGUGGUGUUAUGUGAGCAGGAUGGCUCUCGAGAUACAGAUCAUAUAUCGUACCUUAGUUGUGCUUGAGUUUUGUAGCGUAUGACGCUACCCGUCUCCCUGGAUUUGUAUUAUGAACUUGGCGUGCUUAUGGUUGAUAUUCGGGCAUUUCGUGAGUAUAAGCGUUACGGCUCGAUGUGUGUUUUCUUUAGAUUAUUAUGUGUGAAUCGGGUGGCACGCCGCCACGGGUAUGUUGUUUGGAUCGGGUGGCACGCCGCCACAAGUAUCAUGGUUGGAUCGGGUUGCACGUCGCAAUGGUGUCAUGUGUGGAUUGGGUUGCACGCUGCAACUGUGGGAUGUGGAGUACAGUUCCCUAUAUCUAUUCUCGUGUGUUUUGUCACUCAUUUUCGGAGGAAGGUUUAUGACAUCUUUUCAGUUGUUUAAUUAGUUACGUGGGUUGAGUAGUUCUUUCCAGAGUUCAUUUUUCCUUAUGUAUCUGAGACUUUUGGCACUGUCUGAGGUGGCUUAUUGCCUGAGCAACUUGUAAUGGAUGAGACAAGAUUAUUGGACUUGAAAAUAGUCUGACCAGAUUUAUAUAAGGUGCAUUAAAAAGAAGAUAUCGUUAUUCAGUUUAGAGUGAGGUAAUGGUUCUUAUCAGGAGAAGAGACUCCACGAAUCAUUUAUUCGGCAGGUGGUUAUGAGUUUUACCCAUCUUUUUCGUCGUGGCAGUAUUGCGAGAGUUGGAACAAUACUUAUAGUUGUCAUGAGGCGUGUUGUGGGGACCAGAUUCAUGAAAUUUCAGCUAUUGUGGUCAAGGGAUGUAAUUAUGGUCAUGUGAAUUAUGCGGUGUAGGGUGUGAAUUCAGCUAAGGUAUACUAUCAUGUUUUGGUACGGAGUCUGGUGAUUGAUACGCUGUUCGUGUGUUAGAAUCUGGUAUCGUGGAGAAUUUCGAAUGUUGGAAUUUGGCUCUAAGGCUUAUUUGACUAAAUAAAAGGGAGAAAUUUCAGACUGGCUCGAGCUAAUGUGCCCAACUGGAUUGUGGUAGCAUGUUUAGGUACACGAGGUAUUAAACAGUAAUUUUGGACAACCCCGGAAUAGUUCUUAGCAUGUUCGAGGAUGAACGUAUGUUUAAGUGGGAGAGAAUGUAACGACUCACCCGGUCGUUUUGAGCUCUAGCACGUCGUUCAGUGUUUUGAGGCCAUGAGCAGCUUCACUUCAAGUAUUAUGACUUGUACGUGUGAUCGGAAUUGAGUUUCGGGAAGUUCGGAGUCGAUAUGGAAAAAAACUUCUAAAUUCGGAAGCUUUAAGUUGGAGGAAUUGACUAAUGUUUGACUUUUGAGUAAAUGAUCUCGGAAUCGGGAUUAGAAGGUUCCAACAGGUUCGUAUGAUAAUUUUGGACUUGGGAGUAUGUCCGGAUCGGGUUUUGGACGACCCGAGAGCAUUUCGGCGCCUAUUGUGAAAGGUUGGCAUUUUGAAAAAAAUUCAUGAAUUCGGGUUGAAGUGUAUUUCAAUGUUAUCGAUGUCGUUUGGGAUUCCGAGCAUGGAAAUGGCUCCGUAUGGUGAUUUUGGUCUUAGGUGCUUGUCCGAACGUUGAUUUGGAGGUCCGUAGGUCAUUUCGGCGUCAAUUGGCGAAAGUUGGAAAUUUUGAUGGUUUUUAGAAGUUUGACCGGGAGUGGACUUUUUCAUAUCGGGGUCGGAUUUCGAUUUCGGAAGUUGGAGUAGGUCCGUAAUGUCAAAUGUGACUUGUGUGCAAAAUAUGAGGUCAAUCAGACGUGAUUUGAUAGGUUUCGGCAUCGAAUGUAGAGGUUUGAAGUUCUAAAGUUCAUUAAGAUCGAAUUGGGGUGUGACUCAUGAUUUCGACGUUGUUUGACGUGAUUUGAGGCCUCGAGCAAGUUCGUUUCAUUGUCACGACCCAAGCCGAUGGGCCGCGACGAGCACCCGGUACUUUACUCAAUCGAAUACCGACGUAACGUAUCUUUCUUAUUACAUCAUCAUAUACACGUGACAUACGGGCCUAAUAGGCCAACAUCAUCAUUUAUAAACUCAAAACAUAGGACGACAAGGCCGUACAAUCUUUCACGUACACGACAUAUGUCUACAAGCCUCUAAGAGUACAUAAAUAUCAUAAAGGUCGGGACAGGGCCCCGUCAUACUAAUCAGUACAUGUCCUAAUCAUACUGACCACAUAAGCAACUCCGGAACAAUGGAGUGCACCAACAUCUUUCGCUGAGCUGAUCACCUACUUGGAGGACUCUCGACCUGUCUAUCGAGACAUGCGAGCAUAAAAUGUAGCGUCCCCAGGCAAAAGGGACGUCAGUACAGAUAAUGUACCGAGUAUGUAAGGAAUGAAAAUCAGUAAAUAAUAGACAUGAGAGAAACAUGGAGUAAAAGACUCGACAUGUACGUCUGCAUAGCUCUGUGAAUCAUUUCAUUUUUAUAAUGUCAUGCAUAUGCGUAUAAAUGUCAUACCAUACAUUGGUAUAUGCGUUCAUAACAUCAUCAAGCCUCGGAGGGCAUCCCAUCAUAUAAUUUUGUCCACUGUGGGCAAAUCAUCAACGUAUACCAGCUGAUCAGGUGGUGGUGCGUAUAUAACGCCGUAACCUUUUCCCAUAUCCCAUAUACAUAUAAGUACAUAUAUAUACGCGCAUAUAACGUCAUCUGGUCACGGGUCAAUGUAUAUGUAUAAAUGCAUGAAAUGCAUAAGAAAUACAUUAAUAAGAUUUCUCGGAAUGUCAUAAAAAUAAUAUGCAUGUCGGAUAAACUUUAUCAAAUACGUAUUUUUCUGAGACCCAUGAACAUAAGAUAUAAUAAUAAUUUACAUGGGGAAUCAAGAAUAUAGACACCCCUAAUAUUUCUAUGAAUAGAGUCAUUUAUGGAAGUUGUGUAUUUUGCUUGUUUCAUUUGUAUCAUUUGGACCAUGCCAAAAGAGAGAAGGGAUCCUUAACAUACCUGAGUCGAUUCUCUUGACAAUCCUCUAACACGCGUUAAUUGUGAUAAAACACGGAGCAAAUCAUAUGAAAAGCUCGAAGUAAUCACGUUGCUAUGCAAAGAAAAUUUUGGCCGAAACUUUUCCUUAAGAGCUUAGCAACAAUGUUGCUAUUUGGAAAAUGAAUUAACAUUGCUAUGUUCUUAGAAAGUGAUUUGUAUAGUAACGUUCUUGGCUGAGACUCUCUAAGAGGUUAGAAAGAUAUGUAUCUCUUUCUUAAGAAUGAAUGUACUAAGAAAGGACUUGUAACUCUUUUCUUGAAAGUGGAUGUGUGACUCACGUUUUAGACUUUGCCACAUAAUAGUAUGACUUUAAGAGUCAUCUAAAUAUUAAGGGAGGGGCUGCCACAUUUUGCCCUCUUAAAGUUAUCCAAAUUAUUGAUAAUUUAUUAAUCUCCCACUAACCAAUAAUUACUCAAUUAUCCACAUAAUUAGGAAUUAUCUAAAAUUACUUAAAAUACUACUCACUUUUAACAUACCUUAUACAUCUUACUAUCAUGGUCACGUAGUACCUUAUAUGGUACUAAUCCAUAAAUACCAGGUAUUAUAGCUCGGACCAUAUUAUUUUUCCAAAUCGACAAUCUUCAACGAAACUCAUUAUCUUUGAUUCGUUCACCCUUUAACCUUCAUGGCACUUUACUUAUCGCGUGUUAUAAGUAGCAUAAAUGCUUAUAACCUCAAAAAUAAUCUCAUCCCCGAAUCUACGUCGAUUAACUUACGACGAAGCUUUUACGUACGAAAAUGCGGGAUGUAAUAUCUUAUUUCCGAGCUUUCAUCAAUUUACUUAUGGCAUAUUCUUACGUACGAAAACCUGGGGUGUAAUAGUCAUAUUUUGGGACAGGUUGAUGUGAUUGGACAGGGUCUCGGGGGCGUCAGGUGUGUUCCGAGGUGGUUUCAAAUCAAUUUUGGAUGAAAAGCUGUUGCUGGUUCUACGGGUUUUUGGGUCUAGGUUGCAGGUCUCGCAAAUGCGAGGUUUUGAUCACAUUUGCAAACUCGCAUUUGCGAGGAAGGAGUAUGCAUUUGCGAGGGUGGGAAAUUUCUGAGGGGUUCGCAUUUGCGAACAUUUUAUCACUUUUGUGAAUCUGUCCUCUUUGCAUUUGCGAAGAUUUUGGUCGCAAAUACGACCUUGGCAGGGGUGGCUCUCCUUCGUAUUUGCGAUGCUUUUGUCGCAAUUGCGACCAUCGCAUUUGCGAACCAGAUGUCGCAAAUGCGACGUCUGCGACUAGAGCAAGGGCUUUUAUUUCGGGACUUAGCUCAUUUCCCUCAUUUAAUAUGUAAAUUAACCCAUAGGUAAAUUGAUUUAAUAUGUGCUUCUAUUUGUAGGGGCUACGUACGCACGAGGUGAUGAGAGUCCGUGCAUAGCUACUAUUAUGCUUAUGUUCGGGUAGUCUAGGACCCAAAUCAUGUUAUACUUGUGAUGUUUGUGCGCUACUAGUUAAUUUAAUUGCUUAAAUCAUAUUGAAACUUGAUAAAGGAAUUGUAAAAGGUUAAACUUCAUUUUCUUGACCGUUAAUGAGAAUUUGGUAUUCCCUUGAAUAAUUGCCCCUUAAUAAAUCUUGAAUUGGUUGUUGUAAAUGUAUUUUCUCUUUUGUGGAGCGGGCCGAACGCCUCGGUAGCAGAUAAAUGCAUUUAUGGUUCGCGCCGUUCGACCCUCGAUAGUGCACGUUUUAAAUAUUUAUGUUGGAUCGGACCGUAUGACCUCGACAAGAUUUGCGCAUGAUAAAUCUUUGGAAUUAAUAAUAAUUGAUAUUGCCUCAUUGGCCUGAGAUACAAAAUGUUAAAUGAUGGGAAUAAAUUUGGAAACAUUUCCUAUUAAUAAAAGAAUUGUUCACUCACUUCUUGUUAUUGAGUUUACAAAUAUUUCAUACAAUCCAUGCUUAAGUAUAAUAUCAGUACUUAUUGUUAGCCCAUAGUAAGUGUCGGAGUCGACCCCUCGUCAUUACUUCUUCGAGGUUAGACUAGAUACUUACUAGGUACGCGUUGAUUUUUGUACUCAUACUACACUUGCUGCACAUUUUUGUGUUGGUGCAUAUAUGUCUAGCAGACUUGUGGGUGCAGAGGCACGGCUAUUUCAUGGAUUUAGGUGAGUUGCAUCCCAUGUUGCAAAUUUGCAGCACACAGAGUCUCCAUCAGAGUUAUCUACCCUCUCAUGUCUAAUUGUACUUUCAGACAGAUGUUGUGUUUCUAAUAUAUUUCCUAGUUGAUGCUCAUGUACUUGUGACACCGGGUUUUGGGAGUGAUUAUGGGCUGUUCAGUAUUGUAGUUGUGAAAACACUAUCAUUUACUUUGUAAAAUCCAUCUCUUACUAUUUAAUUGAAGGAAAUUAUGAUUUCAAAAAUACUGAAAUGAUUAAUUAAGUUAAUCAAUUAUUGUUGGCUGGCCUGAAAGCGGUGUUAGGCGUUAUCACGACCUCUAAUGGAAUUUGGGUCAUGACAGUAGGGCCCUCGAUUCUUUUGGGUCCGAGGGUAGUUUUCCAGUCCUGAUAUAUUCCACGUACUUAUUCCUCCAGUCCCAAGUUAGGCUCAUUGAUUGAUCUCGGCGUGGCCUUGUUCCACCACCGAUCUCAUAAGCUGCACAAUUUCUCCCGAGUUGAUGUCGUUGUCUUUGACUGACGAUCCCAAGUUCACGAGGCCAUCAGCUUCGCUGUUUUGAUCCCGAGUUACAUGUUGCAAAGCCCAUUCUUUGAAUUGAUGCAAUGUGACCUGCAACUUGUCCAAGUAUCUCUGCAUUCAUUCUUCCCUGACUUCGAAUGUCCUAUUAACCUGGUUUACCACAAGGAGUGAGUCGCACUUGGCUUCGAUCACCUCUGCCCUCAAGCUUUUGGCUAACUCGAGGCCUGCAAUCAUGGCCUCAUAUUCGGCCUCGUUAUUAGUCAAUUUCACGGUCUUAAUAGAUUGCCUAAUUAUAUUACCAAUCGGUGGCUUUAGUACAAUGCCAAGCUCAGAUCCUUUCACGUUUGAGGCGCCGUCUGUGAAGAGGGUCCAGAUUCCCGAAGAAGUCCCCGAGUCAAUCAAUAACUCUCUUUCGACCUCGGGUAUUAAGGUCGGCGUAAAGUCGGCCACGAAAUCUGCCAAAAUGUGUGACUUAAUGGCGGUCCGGGGCCGGUACUCAAUAUCGUAACCACUUACUUCUACGGCCCAUUUGGCCAAUAGGCCUGAGAGUUCGGGGUUAUGAAUAACGUUUCUUAACGGGUAUGUUGUUACGACACAUAUGGGUUGACAUUGGAAGUAUGGUUUUAAUUUCCUGGAGGCGCUUAGUAAAGCGAGAGCCAAUUUUUCUAGGUGGGGGUAUCUAGUUUUGGCCUCACCCAAGGUCCAGCUAACAUAAUAAAUCGGAAAUUGCGUACCUUGCUCUUCCCGAACUAGGACUCCACUUACCGCUACCUCGGAUACUACCAAAUACAAAUAUAGCUGUUCGUCUGCCCUCGGUGUGUAAAGCAGUAGCAGACUCGGUAAAUACCGCUUAAGUUCUUCCAAGGCCCGUUGGCAUUUCGGGGUCCAUGUGUAGUUGUUUUUCUUUUUUAGCAACGAGAAAAAUUGAUGACUCUUAUCAGAGGACCUCGAGAUGAAUCGCCCCAUGGCGGCAAUGCGCCCGGUUAGCCUUUGCACGACCUUCUCGUUGUCCACUACCAUGAUAUCUUCGAUAGCUUUGAUUUUGUCGGGUUGAUCUCGAUUCCUCGGUUGGAUACCAUGAAUCCGAGAAAUUUACCUGAUCCGACUCCGAACGCGCAUUUUUCCGGAUUCAGAUUCAUAUUGUACUUCUUCAAUAUACCGAAGGUUUCCUGCAAAUACUUUAAAUGGUCCUCUGCUCACAGGAAUUUAACCAACAUAUCGUCAAUAUAAACUUCCAUCGAUUUUCCUAUUUGUUCUUCGAACAUCCGAUUUACUAGGCGUUGGUAUGUAGCACCGACAUUUUUUAAUCCAAAUGGCAUUACAUUAUAACAGUAUGUGCUGUUUUUAGUAAUGAAGGAGGUUUUUUCCUGAUCACCCAGGUCCAUCCGUAUUUGGUUGUACCCGGAAUAGGCAUUUAGAAAACUGAGGAUCUUGUGGCCGGCCGUGACAUCGAUCAUACGAUCGAUGUUGGACAAGAGAAAAGAGUCUUUGGGGCAUGCUUUAUUCAAAUCUUCGUAAUCUACACACAUUCUUAGUUUAUUCCCUUUUUAGGGACUACCACUGUGUUUGCUAACCAAUCCGGGUAUUUAAAUUCUCGAAUGGACCCUAUUUUUAGGAGUUUAGAUACCUCGUCCUUGAUGAAAGCAUGUUUGACCUCGGAGUGGGACCUCCUCUUCUGCUUGACAGGAUUAAUUUUUGGGUCCAUGCUUAGUCUGUGAGUGGUUAUUUCUGGUGGGAUCCCUGUCAUAUCAAGAUGGGAUCAAAUAAAACAAUCUAUGUUAACAAUAAGAAAUUGAAUAAAUAUUUUCCUGGGCAUGGGACCUUUCGAUCGGGCAAAUGCUUGAUUAAUACAAACUGUUCCAGCUCUUUGACCGUCGAUUUGGUUGCGUCGGAGUCAUCGGGGAUUAUAAUAGAUCGGGGAACCCCGUAAUCAUCGUCUUCAUAAGUCUUUUGCUUAUCUGAUUGGACUGUUACCAGAAUUGGUAAUUACUAUUUGGCCUCUGGGUCAGCGCCAGAAUUCGGUUCCUUUGGUAUUGAGAGCGUUGAUAUCGGAACCACUUCUUCGAUGGCAAACAUCUCUUUUGCGGCCGGUUGUUCCCCAUAGAUUGUCUUGAUCCCCCCGGGACUGGGAAUUUUAACACUUGGUGAAGAGUCGAGGGUACUGCCCUCAUGUGGUGGAUCCAUGGCCUUCCGAGAAGGGCGUUGUACCUCAUGUCCCCUUCGAUUACAUAAAACAUGGCCUCCCGUAUGAUUCCGACCGUAUUGACCGGUAAUGUUAUCUCCCCUUUGGUGGUUUCACAUGCCAUGUUGAACACGUUUAGGACCCGGACUACUGGCACGAUUCUGUCUUGUAGAUCGAGCUGUUCUAUGACCUUCGAUCGAAUAAUGUUGGUCGAGCUGCCUGGAUCAAUUAACACACGUUUGACUCUAGUUUCAUUUACGAGUACAGAUAUUACCAGUGCAUCAUUGUGAGGUUGUAUGAUCCCUUUCGCGCCCUCGUUGCUGAAGGAUAAGGCUCCUUUAGGUAUGUAGUCUAGAGUUCAUUUCUCCUUGGUGACGGAGAUUCUGGUGCAUUUCAACAUUGGCCCUUGUGGGAUGUCGGCUCCACCGAUGAUCAUAUUUAUGACGUAUUGAGGUUCGAUCUCUUCUUGUCUUGUUUGUUUGUUAGAAUCCCUGUUUCUAAAGUGGUUCUUAGCUCGGUCUCUUAAGAAUUCUCGAAAGUGCUUGAAUAAACGAGCUACUUCUUCUCUCAGUUGUCGACAAUCUUCCGUUCUAUGACCGUGAGUUCCAUGAUAUUUACACAUCUGGUUAGGGUCCUUUUGAGCUGGAUUGGAUUGUAAAGGUCGAGGCCAUUUGGUAUCACUGAUGUUCCCGAUAGAAGAUACGAUAGCGACAUCAUCGACAUUAAAGUUGUACUCUGAUAGCCUUGGUGCUUCUUUAUGCCCGAUGGUCCUGUCGAAGAUAUUUUUGGUCAUGAGACCCCGGUUGGUUCGACCUUGGUCAUUUCUCCUGGCAUUUCUUACGGGGUUUGCCCCGAUUCACUAUUCCUUCGGUCUCCAUUAUAGGGCCGAUAUCGAUUCCCGUUUGAUUGGUUCACGAUCGAUAUCCCUUGUGGCUCUAUCGAGAAUCCUGGAGGGAUAUAUAGACUUUAAAGGUGCCCCGAGUUGAUCAUCUUCGACUCUGAUUUUUGACUGAUACCGAUUGUGUACAUCGUUCCAAGUAACAAUGGGGUAUUCUAUCAGGCUUUGCUUUAAUUGCUGCGAAGCCACCGAGCUUCGAAUAUUGAGUCCCUGAGUGAAAGCCUGAACAGCCCAAUCAUCAGCGAUCUGUGGCAGAUCAAUUCGCUCCAUUUGAAAACGGGACACGAACUCCCUGAGCAUCUCGUUUUCCUUCUGUUUGACUUUGAAAAGGUCUAAUUUCCUGGUUUCAAUCUUGAUGGCACCGGCAUGUACUUUUACGAAAGAAUCUGCAAGCAUAGCAAAUGAGUCAAUAGAAUUAGGAGGUAAGUUGUGAUACUAUAUCAUGGCUCCCUUCGACAGGGUCUCCCUAAAUUUUUUCAGCAAAACAGAUUCGAUUUCGUCGUCUUCUAAGUCAUUUCCUUUGAUGGCACAUGUAUAAGAGGUUACAUGCUCGUUUGGAUCGGUCGUUCCGUUGUACUUAGGUAUUUCGGGCAUACGAAAUUUCUUGGGGAUCGAUUUUGGGGCCGCGCUUGGAGUAAAAGGUUUUUGUACGAACUUUUUGGAAUCCAGUCCCUUCAAUUUCAGGGGUGCUCCUGGGAUUUGAUCUACCCUGAAAUUAUAAGUUUCAACCUUUUUACCGUUUGCUUCGAUCUUCUUUUCCCCUGACUCUAUCUGCUUUGUCAUCUCCUCGAGCAUUUUUAUAAUUUCGGGGUUAGUCCCCGACUCUUGUUCAUUCGACCUUACCACGGCCGGUUCCGUUCUGUGGGUGACUUCUUGGGGUUGAUCGGGUUCAACCCUGCUCGGUUCCUGGGUUUGGCUCUGUAACUGAGCUAUCGCCACCUGUUGAGCUUGCAACAUUUCGAAGAUCAUGCGUAGGCUAAUCCCGUCUUCUUCAAUGUUCUGUGUGUUUCGAGCUGCAAAUCGGGCUCCACCACGGAAGCUAUUUUUAGGGUCGGUACGCAAGUUCGCGUCGAUGGCCACAUGUGAAUUUACAUCGAUCGGAUCUGCAGUCUGAAUCCUAACGACAUCAGCAGGUGGCCCCGCAUUAGCGGGCGCCAUGUUGUUAUUCUCACCUUGAUGACCAACCUCGCUGUCGAUAUGUAGAGGUGCCAAUUGAGAGUUUGUCAUUUUUGGCCUGAGAUCAAAGAUACUUCAAAGAGCAAGUGUAAAGUAGUAUGUGUUAUGAAGAUUUGUAUCAAAUUACCACUAUUAUCCUUAGCCCCACGGUGGGCGCCAACCUGUUUUCUCCCAAAAUCGGAUAACAAUUGAAUUUAUAUGCAGUUUUAAGGAUAUGUGAUCUAAUUUGAUACAAAGUCAGAAAUAAUAUUUAAUAUGAAAGAAUAAGUAGAAAAAUAAAUGCAAACCAUGCAGAUAGAACAACUUAAGCCUCGCAAGGUUAAUUUCCUUAGAAUUUAGAUGUGAUAUUCUUGAAGCCAGAAUAAUAUGAACAAAGCCAAAAAAAUAGUAUCUUGUUCUCUUAAGUAUGUUACAACGUGUCCAAUGAAUUACUCCAUUCCCUUUAUAUAUACAGGAAGAUGAAACUUCUAAGACAUUAUUUUAUAGGAAAUUAUGUAGACCGUUGGCUCCCUUUUUUACUUAAUCCCGUAAAUUUUGCCAUAAUGAUUGGUCAAUGGCGAGAAUCACGGAUACUUGUUGUGUGAGUUGACAAAGCUUUUCUUUGAGGUCGUUAGAAGCGGAGUCCGUCAUGCCCCCAAUAAACUCGAGGGCAAAUCUGAUGGGCUUGUUCGAACUUCGAUCAUCAAUAUCGAGCUCAGUUACAUCUGUAACUUCGAUCUCUUACGUAGGUGCCGGGCUUUGCGUAUUGUUCCAAAUACCUUGAUCAAGUAUAGAGCUCGGUUCUACCCAUAUACACUUUACUUUGCUCAAGAUUGUAGACAGGAAAGAAAGUCUGAUGGAGCAAUUCCCCUAUUAUCAUGAGAAGUUAAUUGCUUAAAUGAUCACUUACGUGAAUGUAAUUAGUAGUAAAUUCACGUAUUGUUUUGUCAUAAUAAAAUCAUCUUAUUAAAGAUAGUCCCUCAAAUGAAGUAAUAAUUAUUAUCGAAAAUUGCAAAGGUGCCGAUUAAGUGAUCUAAAAUAGCUUAUCAAACUAAAUGCUAUUUAGUUGGCAUGUCAUUUAGGACUCGGACCGAUUUGUCCAUACUUAACCCAUUAAUACGCGACCCGUCUCCCAUAUGCGGGUUAAAUAAAAGAGAAUCUUACGAAAAUGUCCAAAAUAAAUCCAAACUUACCGACCUCUAGCCAUAUUACAGAUUUACCAACAUUAGUCAAGUACAUACAAAAAUAAAAAAAAACUCAGAUAAAUAAAGAUUUCUUCUCUUCAAGAAUCACACGCAAAGAUCUCCUUCCAUAUUUUUAAGUGGGAUCAACAACAUUAGAUGCAAGACGGAAAAGAAAUUCCAUGGAUGAGGUAGCAAAUAAGGUAAUGAAACACAAAGAAAAAACAUAUACAAGAUUCCAAAAUCUAAGCAAAAAGGGACCCUUUUGAGUGAGUAUGGUUGAAAUUCAUUGAAAACAUAUAGAUGAAUCAAUGUACAAAAUUUGAAGAAGAUUGGAGGUAAUUUGGACUAGAUUUGAGUCAAAAUUCGCAGUUGAAAUCAAAUUUAAAAAUUCUUCUACGACACAUGUAUCUCACACAUAAGUAUACAUAGAUAUACAUGUAAUACAUAUCUGAUACACAUAUGAUACAUAUGUGAUACACAAAUGAUACAUAGUGAUAGUGUGAUACACAUGUCUUCUUUUUUCAUGUUCAUCUUCUACUUUCGAAUUUUCAAUUCAAACUACCUCAAAACUCCACCACUCAUCCUAAAACUGAGGAUCAAACUAGUUAAGAUGUACCAAAUCUAUUCCAACAAUACCGAGUCAAAAGAAAACAUUUUGAUAUUUUUUUUAUUACAAAUAGUUAAUUGGCUAAUAUUGAUAGCAUUUAGCUAUAUUGGUAAUAUUUUACGAAUUGGCUAAUUUUUGUACUAAUUUACUUAUGCGAUGACAUAAUUGGUAGUUUCUCUAAAUAAAGCCCCUCCCUUUUCUUUUUCAUUUUCUUUUUAGUGUUUUUUUAAGUUGUUCUUCUUUCUAGGUGCAAGGAAUGAAGCAUUAUAUUAAUCUCCCUUUUCCCUUUCAUCUUAGUUAAUGAGCAGUAUUAAUCUAAGAAGAUUCUAAUGAUCAAAUUAAAUGUCUAAAUAAUUGCCUCAAAGCACUUGCAACCUCUGAAGAGACGUAGUAUUUCCAGAACGGAGUGCCUCUUCACCAAAAAAAGUAACUUAAACAAUGCCAAGGUGUAGUUUAAAAGCUCAGAUUAGGUAAAAAUUAGUCGCUAAUGCUUGUCAAAUAUUCUAUUAAUCCAAUAAAUACUCGAUUAUCCUAAAUCACAUAACAAACAGUUUCAUUAUUCAACGUAGACCAACGUUGAUGUUUCGUACGGCUAAUUUUUCUAAUCAAAAAGCCCAUUUGUUUUUCCUCCUAGUAAUGCUACGUUGGUAUAAAAUAUCGUUACUUUAUUGCCAACAUGAUAGAUGGAUAAGGUUAUCAAUAAUAAUAAUAGUAAAGGGUCUCAUUAACCCAAAAGUUGAAACCAUUCACAUUUAUCUUCCAAACUUGUCCUUGAUAUGUAUUAUUUGAAAGAGGAGGGAGAAACAAAAGUAAUGGUUGUUCCAUGUCACUAUUGCUAUUAUUAUUUUGAAACAAUUGUACUUUUGACCUUUUAAUUAUUAGUAGUUCUGAUUUUAGUCCUUCUGAAAUUUAUUAAAUACAUUUAAACCCUGAAUUAACUUAAGUAUAUGUUUUUCAUCCCUUAAGAGUAAUCCUUAUAACUAUAUAUUACCCUUGAAUGUGCAGUAACAACGAGAAAUUAAUACAAAAUAAGAAUAGUUAAAAGAUUUAACAGUUAAUAAUUUAUAUCAUAUAUGUGAAGAUUCACAAGCAGUAGAAUAAAAAUUGCACAUUUCAAUUGAUUGAAGGUUAAAUCAUAAAUGGCAAUCAGAUAUCAUAACUAGGAUCAAACUUAAAAUUUGUCAAUAUUUGAAGGACCAAGAGCGCAAAUUUUAUUCCCUGUCGCUUGGGAGUUUCCAAAAGCCGCAUUUAGCUAAAGUUUCUUCGUUUUUCAAUUAAUCAUGCAGGCUGUUUCUUGAAUACUAUAAAUAGAACAGGUUCUUAGAAUACUGGACAAAAGAGAAAGAAGCGGAAAUUAGAAGGAGAAAGAGAGUCGAAAACACAUUUGAUAUACUAUACAAUUAUGGUGAUUCAAAGGUUGGAAAUGUGCAUAGGAAUGGUGAAAUUGGCGUUUGAGUUCGUUGUUGUGUUUGUAGAGGCAGUUGGUACUGUUAUCUCACAAAACAAUUCUUCUUCCUCUGCCAACAGAAAUUACGUUGCUACAACGCCUUACAUCGGCCUUCUUCCAUAAAUUGUUUAUUUUUUCACUUCGAAUAUUCAGUAUUAUUUGAAACUGGUCCGACUUAUUCCAUUUUCAUAAACGUUGUUUUUUCUGAAUUCCCGAAAAAACCAGAAAGAAUACAGGCAAGGAACAUAUGACAACUGCAGUUUAGCUUCUUCUUUUUUUCUCUCACUGAGAGGAGCCUUUGUAUAAUGUAAAGUCAGCUUCAGAAGAGCUUUCUUAGUAGAGAGGUGUUAGAUUUUAGUUUCUUUUUUGGGGUUAAUUAUAUUUAGUUGAUAUAAUUUGUCGUGAGAUUAUUAAUAUGUUGGCAGCUUUGAAGUUUGAUCAUCCACACCACCUUUCUUAUUAAUCAUUCAGCUCAGUUUUCCUUCA